rnacentral:rRNA from 1 species
CCUACGGGUGGCAGCAGUCGAGAAUCAUUCACAAUGGGGGAAACCCUGAUGGUGCGACGCCGCGUGGGGGAAUGAAGGUCUUCGGAUUGUAAACCCCUGUCAUGUGGGAGCAAAUUAAAAAGAUAGUACCACAAGAGGAAGAGACGGCUAACUCUGUGCCAGCAGCCGCGGUAAUACAGAGGUCUCAAGCGUUGUUCGGAAUCACUGGGCGUAAGGCGUGCGUAGGCUGUUUAGUAAGUCGUGUGUGAAAGGCGCGGGCUCAACCCGCGGACGGCACAUGAUACUGCGAGACUAGAGUAAUGGAGGGGGAACCGGAAUUCUCGGUGUAGCAGUGAAAUGCGUAGAUAUCGAGAGGAACACUCGUGGCGAAGGCGGGUUCCUGGACAUUAACUGACGCUGAGGCACGAAGGCCAGGGGAGCGAAAGGGAUUAGAUACCCGGGUAGUC